AUACGGAGGAUGCAAGCGUUAUCCGGAUUUAUUGGGUUUAAAGGGUGCGUAGGCGGAUGAUUAAGCGUGAGGUGAAAUGCCACUGCUCCACAGUGGAACUGCCUCGCGAACUGGUUGUCUUGAAUGCUCCUGCCGUGGGAGGAAUGUGUGGUGUAGCGGUGAAAUGCAUAGAGAUCACACAGAACACCGAUUGCGAAGGCAUCUCACGAAGGGGUGAUUGACGCUGAGGCACGAAAGCGUGGGGAUCAAACAGGAUUAGAUACCCUGGUAGUCCACGCAGUAAACGAUGAUAACUAACCGCUGGGUCGUAGUGAUUCAGUGGCCAAGCGAAAGCGAUAAGUUAUCCACCUGGGGAGUACGACCGCAAGGUUGAAACUCAAAGGAAUUGACGGGG
rnacentral:rRNA from 1 species